UUGCCAUUUGUUAAAAAAAAAUCGAAGGGGGAAAAAACAGGGAGAUAUGGCGACGGGAUCGGAGAACGCAAGAGGAGGAGGUGAUAAAACGGCGAAGGCAGUAGUCGCCGAUCAGAUAUCGCAGGCUGUUAAUUCUACUGCUAACCUUCUCCAUCUCAUGCGUCAAUCUUCUUCUGCUCAGGCCCAGUUGGCAAAGCUCCCAAAGAAUCUUUUGGCCAAAGCUUCUUUAACUAAGGCCACUGGACAAGCCUUGGCGCAGCUUCCUCAAGUGAUUUCAUCCUUGGAUGCCCAUAUAGAAAGCGGCUUGAACAGUGGAGUUCAUUUAAACACAGUAACCCAAUUACUUGAAAACAUGGAAAGCACGCAGCUUCGUGCUCUUCGACAAUCUAACUUAUCCCCUGUCGUGGACAACAAUCAAUCUCCAGAGUAGCGUUGAACAUUUCAGAUAACUGUUUCCUCAGUAGUACAUAUGUUCUUCUCCAUUAAACUUUUUCAUAAGUAUUGAUGAUGUGAACCAGUCUACUUGUAUAGCGGGCCAAAAGGAACCCACAACCGAGUAGUCUUCUGUCGAAUCCCAAAGUGGCAUGAAAACUGCUUAGAAACAAGUGGCAUUAAAGAAUCAGACAAGCAAUGAGAUUAUUUAGAAUUUGUGUUUGGAUUCUUCUUGCUAGUCGACACGUCCUCCUGUACAGCCCGCUCUGCACACUCAACUAUAGCUUAUAUUAUUACCCGAAUGGCCGUCGAACUAA